UGGGUUGUAGCUAAAUGUAAAGGCGCUUGGCCGUUAAA
rnacentral:tRNA from 1 species